UCUAUCUCAUUCUCUCUCUCUCUGAAAUAAAUAAAAUCUAAAAAAAAAAAAAACACGUUAUUUUAACCCCACUUUUCACAGAAGAAGACUUUAAGGCCCAAGGAGCUGGAGUAAUUGGUCCCAGCUCAAAAAGCUAGAAAGUGGUGAAUCCGGGAUUUGAAUUCAGGCAGUCUACCUUCAGUGUUUUUAUACCCUUCUAAUCUUUCUUGCUUCUCCUAUAUUUAAAACUUUGGGUAAAGGUAAGAUCUAAGGCCUGUCCUGGAGGAGCUGAGUUUUGGCAAAUCCUGUUUUGAAUCGGAGGUUUUAUUCUGUAAGUAAGUUCAGUAGUGAUUGGAAAACCAACAGGUGAGUUCCUAAGCAGUUCAGUGUUCCUAUUUUCAAGGCUUAACAUUUAAUCCAAUACCGGAGUGAGGUGUAAAUACUAUUCUCUCCAUUUUACAGAUGAGGAAACUGAGGCUUCAUCAGGUCAGACAGCAGAGCUAGGAUGCAGGCCUUGGUUCUUAAGCAGUAUGUACUGCCUCUCUAGGAGGCCAAAAAAAUAGCUGGAAGGGUAUGAGAGCCCAGAUUACUUAAUGGUUUUUCACUUCGGUAAAUUCAGUGUUCACCUUCACCCGCCGAGACCAGAGAAGCACCUAGAUUUCUCCUGUGGCUUCUUAAAGCUCCUUUUUAUUGGCCUUGGCUAAACUCCCUACAAAACUGCAAUGACUUUACGGUUUUAGCAUAUCGUUAACUUAGAAAUCAGAAGAACACUGUGAACCGAAUUUGUUGUGUGGGGUGAUGUGAUCCGUAGGGGAAGGGAACGAUCAUGAAUAGAAAGCCGGAGUGUGUGUUUGUGUGACACUUUUUGUUGGUAUGAUUGCCUCCUUUGGGAGAUCGAGAGUGGUACAGUAGAAAAGUGAAUGUUAUGUAUUUGUCAACUCACAUCCCUAGCCUUUGUCCCCGCGAAUCCUUGGCUGCACAUAAGUGGAAUUUGCCCGAGUAUUUACAUACGUUUUUUCCUAGAAAAUGUUUAAGUUCACAGUGUUACACUAUCUUUAAUAAAAUUUUUUUAAAACAAGGAAACAGAACCUAUGUCUGUGCCAAUAGGGGGCACUCCCCCACCAUGAAGAAUAAAUUAAAAGGUAUUUUAUGUUUCACGCAGAGGUUCCAGUGGACUUAUUUCUGGCAAAAACUUGCAGACCGAGUGGUUAGGCUGGAAAGAGAAGACAAAAACUGAGGUAAUGCCAUUCCUUACCAAAAUAUACAAUGUCAGCGAUGACUGAAGAACAAAAAAAUGGCCUUCUAUUGUUUGCUGUCUCUCAAAAUAUGCCACUUCAGGAGCUCCUCUUCAACCCUGUGAUGGCCUCAAUCAUGUGAGAAGACCAAAGGGAGAAGACAAACAGAACAUAAAUUUCAAUCAGAGAAAAGCAAGAGCACCCAACUUUGGCUCCCCACAUAUGCAGAGUAUCUGCAGAAAAAACUGCUAUGUCUGCCUCAAAUGCUUGCCGUGAUACGAAGUGGUAAUCUCUACCUGCUACUUCGUGGUCUCGCCUACUCCG